AUCAUCAUCUAAUAGAAGUAAUAAAUUUGGGGUACUAUUUUUUUUCCUACGCAGCGUUUAGAAGAUAGGAAACUGCUAACAGGGUUCCAAAGAAAUUCCUGCCUAUCAGUGCCCAUCCCUUAUUACUGUAAGGUGGAUGGGCUCCUAGCCCAGUGGACAGCGAGGCGGUGUGUCUCGUGGCCGACGCAGGUUCGAGCCUUGGCUCGUACGCUGCCGUCUAACAUUUCUUCUCUUAAUAAUAAAAAUCAGUAGGGGCUUCUCCCCCUACUGGUCUAGUUUUUUUUUCUUAGUAUUGUAAGCAUCCACUCAGAUGCAACUUUUUAGCGGAAGACUGAAUAGAAUGGUGUGCAAGAUCGCUGUGGAAGGAAAUAAAUAUUCAGGGAACUGAGUGCGCAUUCCCCUGUUUUCCUGCGACCAAGCAAACGCUGGUUUUUGGUUUCCUUUGCUUUGCAGGUGUGAUCCUUUUUCAUUCACACACUUGCUCAUAUUCCUAUGUUUUACACACCCGUUGUUCCAAACAGGGCUUUAAAGUUCCAUUUCACAAGAAGAUUAUGCGGAAAAAGUGAAAACAAACAUUGUUACAUCGGACUCUGCUAUGGAUAAUAGCUAAUGUUGCAGAAAAAUGAUACCUUGAACACAGUAGAUAGUUCCAUCUGUUACCACCAUCAACGCCCAUGCCUUAUCCUUGACGAAGCAGAUCAGCAGCAAAGGGCCGUGAAUUCGACCUCAUCACACUCCGUUCGAUCUGAUGAUGUGAGAGUGACUUGUGUGUGUCUUCUGGGGUGUACUUCGAGGCUUCAAGCAGCAUGAGUUCCAUCGGCCUGCCCACUUGAUCUAUAUUCGGACAGCAGAGUGCUUUCCAGACAAUUCACGAUAGGCGCACGGAUUUGGGUGAUAUAAAAUUUGAAGUUGGGAUGCGGCACAGGUGGGCACGAUGAGGUUUGGCAAGGAUUCCAGUCAAAAAGGUUUGGCAAGGAUAGGCAGUAGCCGAGCAUCACAUCAGAGCAGCCGUGGGUGAGCAGCGCGGAGCCGCGGCGUACUUGCGGAGUUCAGCGACGCAGGAGACGGGGGAAGGGAGGUUGUGGUGCUGGGCGAUGGGGGUGCUGAAGCAGGAAAGGGAGGAGGCAGAAGAGGCGUUGGGGCACCGGGCACGGACAGCGCCCGUACUUGCGGAGGUCUGCGUCGGAGGGGUCGGCGGCGUACUUGUCGAGGUCUGCGUCGGGGUCUCCCUCGGGGAGAUGGGGAAGGUGGUGGAGGAGACAGCGAGGAGGAGGGGUCUUGGUGGUGGUCGCAUGUGGGGUUGAGAGGAGGCAUUCGGGUUGGACGGCGCCGGCAGCGGCCAGCAG
rnacentral:rRNA from 1 species